rnacentral:rRNA from 1 species
UACGGGGGGGCAAGCGUUGUUCGGAAUUACUGGGCGUAAAGGCUCGUAGGCGGCCAACUAAGUCAUACGUGAAAUCCCUCGGCUUAACCGGGGAACUGCGUCUGAUACUGGAAGGCUUGAGUAUGGGAGAGGGAUGUAGAAUUCCAGGUGUAGCGGUGAAAUGCGUAGAUAUCUGGAGGAAUACCGGUGGCGAAGGCGGCAUCCUGGACCAUUACUGACGCUGAGGAGCGAAAGCGUGGGGAGCGAACAGG